rnacentral:rRNA from 1 species
GACCAACGCUGGCGGCGUGCUUAACACAUGCAAGUCGAACGCUGAACCCGCUUCGGUGGGGGAUGAGUGGCGAACGGGUGAGUAACACGUGGGCAACCUGCCCCCGGCUCUGGGAUAACUCCAAGAAAUUGGGGCUAAUACCGGAUGUGACCGCUGGCCGCAUGGUCUGGUGGUGGAAAGGGUUUCCGGCUGGGGAUGGGCCCGCGGCCUAUCAGCUUGUUGGUGGGGUAGUGGCCUACCAAGGCGACGACGGGUAGCCGGCCUGAGAGGGUGACCGGCCACACGGGGACUGAGACACGGCCCAGACUCCUACGGGAGGCAGCAGUGGGGAAUAUUGCGCAAUGGGCGGAAGCCUGACGCAGCGACGCCGCGUGGGGGAUGACGGCCUUCGGGUUGUAAACCUCUUUCAGCAGGGACGAAGCGCAAGUGACGGUACCUGCAGAAGAAGCACCGGCCAACUACGU